rnacentral:misc_RNA from 1 species
UCUUCUACAGAAAUAGGUCCUAAAUCCACAGAAGAGUUUGAAAUAUUAAUUGCCAAGGAAAGCCUCUAAAAUUGUAAGGAAUGUUUGACAUCAGAAAAGUUCUAAUCCCAAAAUGGCCUUGUGGACUCAAAAGAUACAACAAAAUAACAACUGGGCUCUAGUUAGAGGGUGGCGCAACUGCACAUGUUAAGACACACAAAUUAGUAAAACAUAACCUACAGUCAUUGCAUCUUAAAGGAAUAGAACUAGUAAGCUUCCUGUUGUCAUCAUCGAUGAUCGCCAACAUGCCAAAAUCUG